UGAAAAAUAAAAUAUGUCGCUAAAAUAAAAUAACAAAAAAAUAUAAUGAUAUAAAAUAAAACCUUUUUUAAAAAAUAUUUUUUUAGUUUUGGUUUAGUUCUUUCUCUUAUGUUAAUAUUUGCUGUUUUUAAUCACUUCUGACUCUUCAAUAAAUUUUGCGCCAUUCAAAUUUUGCGAUAAUUAAGCUAUAGAUUAAUAUUCCAUUAUCUAUUAUGCUUUUGAAUACUAGCCUAUUCAUAAUCUUAGGAGCGGUCUUGGAUGGAUACAUUUGCACGACCUUGUUAAAAGUGAACAAACACUUUUAUUAUUCAUUAUACAUAAUCAAAUAAUAUCCGUUGCUUGCAGUAAUAAUAUGGAAAAUAAUUAUGAAGAGUUUAAUCGAAAAUUGAAAACAUUCCAUCAAAACAAACAAACUGAUCUUGAAUACUAUCCAAAAAUUGAUGGUAACAAAGUUGACCUUUAUAAAUUGUAUAAUAUUGUGCAGUGUUUGGGAGGAGUAAAUAAGGUGCUAGAUUUCAAUAAAUGGACCAAUGUUUUUGAAACUUAUGGAUAUCCCAAAUCAUGCUUAAAUGGCUGUUUUAUAAUGAAACAAAUUUAUACAAGAUAUUUGGAGAGCUAUGAAAGAGUUGAAAGGGGAGAAUUAACAAUGGAUGAAUGUGACAUAGAGACAAUUCCAUCAAAAUAUCAAAUGAAUCAAUACUUCAAGACAGUUUUUCCACUACAAAAAAAUGAACAAUUACUUAAAAUAGAAUCACCAUACAGUUUAACAUUUAAAAAGUUGCAACUCUUAUUAUUGUCCAAUUUGUCAAAUGAAAUUAAUUUUGCAUUAAAAUUUUUGCACCUUUUGUCUGAAAAUGAAUGUGCUAUCAAUGAAGCUCAACAUAAUUAUAAUUCAAAUAUAAAUCCCUCCAAUUCAUUAGAAAAUAGUUUAUUUUCAUUCCUCAAUUCACAAGAAUCUAAAAUUUUUCAAAAUUUUAUAUUAAAUUCAUAUAAAAAUAUAUGUAGUACUGGUCAAAUUACUUCUCACUUCUCUUUAUCUCUGCUUAACAUAGGUAAAAAUUCAAAAAUAAUUGAAACAAUAUUACACAUCCUUAAUCCAUUCAUACCACGAACAUUUGUCAAAAAAGGUAUUGACAAUCAACAAAUAUUUGCUCAAGUUGAGAAUGAUCAAGAGGAUUCAAAUAUUAAUUAUUGGAAAAAACAUGUCAAAAAGGGGAUUUGUCAGAAAAUUUUGCUCUUAGGAACAUCAGAUGAUUUUGAUGAGGCACACGUUAUAUUCAAAAGCAAGGAUUCUCGAGAUGAAAAUAGGAACGAGAAAAAUUGGAAGGAAAAGCUCAAACUAAUAUGCGAUAUAUUCCGUAACUGGUCAUUCGUUACUGCAAAUGCUAUGAUUUUAGCCAAUAGUUUAACGCUUGUGAAAGUCUUGUUGUUAACCAUCCAUUGCGACAUUCCUGAAGCCAGAUCAUCAGCCUUCGAUACAUUAUCCAACAUAUCCAAAUUUUUAAAUCUCACCAAAAUGGCCGUUUCCAGGUUUCCCGUCAUUGUAGAAGUCUUAGUCGUUACAAUUCUUCACGGCAUAUUUUCCUAUGAUCGCUUUGAAUUAAUUAGGAGCUUAGAAAUUCUGGGAAACAUUUGUCACGAUAUUAAUUUGAACAUUUUGAUCAACAAGAUGGGUCUGGAUGUGUGCGGAAGAUUGGUCAAUUUGCUUACAUUAUAUGGGGACAUACUUAUUUUGUGCAGGACGUUAGAAACGCUUUAUCAAUUAACCUUUUAUGGAAAGGAUAGCUUGUCUAAUCAUCUAGUUUUGGUUCCACGUUUUAUAGAAAUUCUGAUAGAUUUUCUUACCUAUCAAUCUAACAAUCAACCUCAACCUUUAAUUGCUCAAAAGCCUUUAUCAACACGAGACAUUCUUCAUAUGGUCAUGCCGAUUCAAACAUGGCCUAAAAUGGAGACAGUCUUCAAGGGUGAUAAAUUUGACAACAACAAAAAUUUUUUAUUAGGAAAUGAAGUUGCAUGCUUCAGUUAUUGGUGGAAAUACCUCAACAGUCAGUCCAUGGGAUCGAGUAUUAUAAACUCGAUGUCAGUCCGACUAAAAAACCUUGACCCCUCUUCCCUUAUUGUGAUUUCGGAAAAUCCCAAUACACGCAUUUUGGACCCUCCUACCAGCUUCAUUAUAAACAUGUCAUCACUUAAAAUCUGUGAUAAACUGAGCUCCCAUUCCUUGCAACAUUACAAUGACUCUACAUCUUUGGUAUCUUCCCAUUGCUCGCCCAACAACUUGAUGCACUUCGAAGCAGCUAGAUUUGCUGAAAGAUGGUUUCGAGCUUAUUAUGAGGAAAGUAUCGACCAAAUUACUCCACGAGCCGAAAUGCUCAACUGUUAUUACACAUACGGAAGAAGAUAUUUCAAGGAAGAAUUCAGACCUCUCAAAUAUACUUCUCUAUGUAAUUGUAUAAAACGCGCCUUCCCGAGAGCCAGGCUAGACCGAAAGAUUCGCGAGAAUGGCCAAUUACAAGUCCUCUGCGAGGGCAUUAAAAAAAGAUCCAACCCUUUGCCAUUACAUCAGGUCCCUCAAUUGCUACCCACUGAAUAUCAACCACAUUUGAUGAAAAAAAACAUUGAAGAAGGUACUCCCAAAAAAUUUUCACCCAACCCUGUCACAAAAACCGUUUCUCCUUCCAUAACAUAUCCCUCUGCGGGCUUGGAUAGCUCUAUUACCCAAACACUACCACCCUAUUUGAAAAUUGACAAUAACAAUUUUGACCAAUUGCAUAGCGUAGAUAAACUUAAAUUGCUACACACAGAUAGGAAACCUAAAUCCCCACAUCUAGAUAAGAAAACUAAAUUGCUGCAUAACGAAUUUUAUAAUGGUGCCUACCCUCUGGUUUACAAGCCUAAACUUUUAAAUUCUAUAUACGUGCCUUGUUCUCACAGUCAUAUAGACCUUUUAAAAAGACCUCAGGGUAGACCCAAGGGCUCUUUCGGUAAGAAAAAACGGUUGAUUCUAGAUACCUUGAAACCGCUGGUUAAAUUGGAGCUCGAAACAUUUUACGACGAUUCAAAUUUCAACUGCUCACAAAGUUCUCAGAAAUUUAUGAAAAUACUAGACACAAUUCCUGCUGCCGUUACAUGCUUAGACUGUCCCUUGUUACAAGCCAGGCUAACCUUUAAUAACUCCCGACUCAGAUUUGGAUUUAAAACCAACAAAAUUAAGCCACCCACCAUACUAAAUCAACCCUCUUUGACUUAUCCUGCUCCUCCUUUCGUAGACUCCCACAAAAAACUUUUGAAUAAUGCCCACAUUAAUGGAUCCACAAAUUUUGGUACCAGAAAAAUGGAGUUUCUCUCCAAUUUGCAAGAAAAUCUUUUAACGAAUGACCAGAUUACAGACUUUAGGGUAAAAUGUAUGGGUGAAAAUUUUGACCCGGAGCCGAUGGAACUCGAUCAAGAAUUUGUCCAACCAGAAAAUAUCGACAUACAUAUUAUUGGGGGUGACAAGAAACGUCAUGCUGGUUUGAUCGAUCAUAAUACAACAAGCUACUCAAAGGAAGAUCGCCCCACUUUAAUAAUGAUACCCACUCCUAUCACGACUGAUCCUUUAAAUAUCAUUAUUUCCACAAGUUACAGCAAAACCAGCACAUUGAGCGAAUCCAUGAAUGGGGUCGUCAAAUCCCUGGCUAGUAACUUGAUUCUCAUUCGUAAAUUGGGAGACAAAAACUUUUUUAUCACGAAUGGACCCCAAUUGGGUUCGCCAGUUGAUUCUGAACCCACCAACAAGAAUUUUACCAGAAAUAUACCUUAUACGAACAACUCUGUUUAUGGCGAAACAAAGGGAUCAAACCAUUUUAUAUGUCAUUUGUUUGAUAAGAAAAACUCUCUAUCCACUGACACUAUUUAUAAGAUUUGCAAAGGUGGGGUUAGAGAAAAGAUUCCUAAAAUAGCAGAACAGAUCCUUGCAUUACAAAUCAAUGAAAAUGUUAAAGAGAAUUUUGUUUUAGCCAAGCCUGAAAGUUUUUAUAAGUUAAACCAAAUCCUCGAAUUACCUUCUCAACCUUCCGAAAAUCUAGAAAUUAACCCAACUGAGAAACUUCCUGCCAAAGAAUAUAACUCAUUUAUUCUUCCUGAUAAAUGCGAUGAUGAGCAAAUGCGCAUAAUGUUCAAAGGGUACAAAUGUGGAUGGAAUGACUGCGGGAAGAUAUUCAAAUCUGUUCAGUCUAUUCAGUCUCAUGUUUACUUUAUUCACUCAUCUCAUGACGGGUAUUGUUCUUGGCCACCUUGUGUCGGCAAAAUUUACCGCCGAAAAUUUUCUCUUGCCAAUCAUUUGCAGGAUUUUCAUUGUGUUGAUAAAAAUUUGCAAAUCGUGUCGACGUACAUCCCAGACAUAAAAAAGGGCAAUUAUAAAAUUCAAACCCAAAAUCCUGGCCCCACUUCUCCCAAAAGGAUUACCGAGAACGAGCUUAAAGUAUGCCAAGAGCUCAACUCUAAAGAUUUAUCGCACAAUAUCAAUUAUAUGCGAACUCCCAAUAAUUUUUUGAAUGAUUACAUGAAUCAAUGUUCUCACGAUAUGCCUGACCAGGCUGCUUUGCAGACUAUCUACCGGUAUUUCAAUGCAGCGAUUUCUUCACAAAACAUCUCCAUUCAAGAAGAUUCUUUGACUAAGAAUGUCCGUUUGAUAUCAGCGUUGAUACUUAGAAACAUUGCUAAAUAUUCGCCAGUAAUUGGAAAAAGCGAAUGCCACAAUCAUUAACUCCAAAAAAAAACACAAAAUACUUACGAAAAAAUAUUCGAAGUAAUAAUGUCUAAAUGUCAAGAAGGGGAUUUAUUUCCUGAUCCAUUAUAUAUAUACAUGGAUUUCGAAAAGUCUGCUAUGAGCGCGGUUAGAACUGUCAUUGGGGAUCACAUCAUAAUCAGAGGAUGCUUUUACCAUUUGUGUCAAAGUACCCAUAGAAAAAUUUAAAAGCUAGGUCUGGAAAGCCAAUACAGAACCGAUGAAGCCCUAAGCUUCUUUUGUGGCAUGAUGGACGGCUUAGCAUUUGUUCCUUAAUGUGAUAUGGGCAAUGCAAUGGCAUUCCUUAGAUCGGUUACUCCGAGCAAUGGUAAGGAUAUUCUUGAAUAUUUUGAUAAAAAUUACAUCAAUGGAGUAUCAAGUGAGGUCACAAGAAGCAAUUCUUAAUCCCAGACACGUCGAAUUGGCCCUCGAUUUUCUCCAGAAACUUGAAACGUGAAUGAAAGCACUCUAUCCGACGAAGAACGCAUGCUUAAUCAAUGCGAAGGUUGGAAUUAUCGUUUUUUCUAAUCUGGUUGGGAAUAAACACCCAUCAAUGCGAGGUGGCUGCCGAUGAAACCAAACUUGAACGUGUAGGUAGUUGGGCACUGAAAACAAAAUCGCAGUGCUUAAACAAGAAAAAAUGCUGAUGUUCAAAUUGGUACUGGGAAAAAAAUAUGAGAAAAUUAAGAUUUACGAAACUUAUAUUUCAAUGUUGGCAUUGAGCAGAACAGAAGCAUCUCGAACGCUGGCUCAAACUCUAUGGGAAAUUAACCAUUAAUAUGAUUUUGAUAAUAUUUAUGAAAAUAUUUAAAUUUUUUCUGUAACUUUUGUUGAAUUUGCGUUCUGUAUAUCUUAUAUAUUUGUAAAAAAAUAAUAUUUUAUGAAUAAGUGUAUAUUUAAAAAUAUUGUAUAAUUAGUUAUUUUUCUGACUUGUAUAGCUAUUAUAUAUAUAUGAAGUAAAACAAAGA